AAAAAACUACAUAUACAAAAGAAAGUCCCUUUAAGAAACAAGUCCAAAGAGCACCUGACGCGUUUCGGCAAUAAGCCUUCACCUCGGAUGAAGGCUUAUUGCCGAAACGCGUCAGGUGCUCUUUGGACUUGUUUCUUAAAGGGACUUUCUUUUGUAUAUGUAG
rnacentral:miRNA from 1 species